rnacentral:piRNA from 1 species
UNGCAUGUGUAAUAGAAUGUACACACAAAGC